GAUGAACGCUAGCGACAGGCCUAACACAUGCAAGUCGAGGGGCAUCGGGACGUAGCAAUACGUUGCCGGCGACCGGCGGAUGGGUGAGUAACGCGUAUGCAACCUACCCGUAGCAGGGGGAUAGCCCGUUGAAAAGACGGAUUAAUACCCCGUAACACAGGGGCUCCGCAUGGAGAUUAUUGUUAAAGGGUCAUUUCUUUUAGAGGUGGUCCGGCUGCGGAUGGGCAUGCGUUCCAUUAGGUAGUUGGUGUAGGUAACGGCUCACCAAGCCGACGAUGGAUAGGGGAACUGAGAGGUUGGUCCCCCACACUGGUACUGAGACACGGACCAGACUCCUACGGGAGGCAGCAGUGAGGAAUCUUGGUCAAUGGACGCAAGUCUGAACCAGCCAUGUCGCGUGAAGGAGGACGGCCCUAAGGGUUGUAAACUUCUUUUGCAGCGGAAUAAAGUUUGCCACGAGUUGGCGAUUUGCAAGUACGCUGCGAAUAAGGAUCGGCUAACUCCGUG
rnacentral:rRNA from 1 species